UGAACUACAACCAAACAAAUGGUGAGCCA
rnacentral:piRNA from 1 species